UCUCCGUAGGUGAACCUGCGGAGGGAUCAUUACCGAGUGAGGGUUUCGGCCCGACCUCCAACCCUUUGUGAAUCAAACCUGUUGCUUCGGGGGCGACCCUGCCUUUCGGCGGUGGCGCUCCCGGUGGCCAAUUAUUAAACUCUGCAUCUCUUGCGUCGGAGUCUUAAAGAAAUUUAAACAAAACUUUCAACAACGGAUCUCUUGGUUCUGGCAUCGAUGAAGAACGCAGC
rnacentral:misc_RNA from 1 species